UUAAAUUGAAGAGUUUGAUCAUGGCUCAGAUUGAACGCUGGCGGCAGGCCUAACACAUGCAAGUCGAACGGUAACAGGAAGCAGCAUGCUGCUU
rnacentral:rRNA from 1 species